rnacentral:rRNA from 1 species
UACGAAGGGUGCUAGCGUUGUUCGGAUUUACUGGGCGUAAAGCGUGCGUAGGUGGCUUUACAAGUCAGGGGUGAAAUCCUGGGGCUCAACCCCAGAAUUGCCUUUGAAACUGUAGAGCUAGAGUAUCGGAGGGGAUAGCGGAAUUGCUAAUGUAGAGGUGAAAUUCGUAGGUAUUAGCAGGAACACCGGUGGCGAAGGCGGCUAUCUGGACGAUUACUGACACUCUGGCACGAAAGCGUGGGGAUCAAACAGG